rnacentral:rRNA from 1 species
UACGUAGGGUGCAAGCGUUAAUCGGAAUUACUGGGCGUAAAGCGUGCGCAGGCGGUUUUGUAAGUCUGUCGUGAAAGCCCCGGGCUCAACCUGGGAAUUGCGAUGGAGACUGCAAGGCUUGAAUCUGGCAGAGGGGGGUAGAAUUCCACGUGUAGCAGUGAAAUGCGUAGAGAUGUGGAGGAACACCGAUGGCGAAGGCAGCCCCCUGGGUCAAGAUUGACGCUCAUGCACGAAAGUGUGGGCAGCAAACAGG